CCGCCGGGCGCGGUGGCGCGUGCCUGUAGUCCCAGCUACUCGGGAGGCUGAGGCUGGAGGAUCGCUUGAGUCCAGGAGUUCUGGGCUGUAGUGCGCUAUGCCGAUCGGGUGUCCGCACUAAGUUCGGCAUCAAUAUGGUGACCUCCCGGGAGCGGGGGACCACCAGGUUGCCUAAGGAGGGGUGAACCGGCCCAGGUCGGAAACGGAGCAGGUCAAAACUCCCGUGCUGAUCAGUAGUGGGAUCGCGCCUGUGAAUAGCCACUGCACUCCAGCCUGGGCAACAUAGCGAGACCCCGUCU
rnacentral:lncRNA from 1 species